CCUCCAGACUGACUAGCUACUGAAUCACUAAUUGAUCUAAAUCAAUGUGAUGUGGUAAGGGAAAAUAAUGAUAUUACCUUAUUUAUAGUGUUGUCAAAAUCUGGUGCCAGAAGACUCGGUAAGACCAGGAACGCAAACGUUAAUCAUCAUCAACAGGCGUAAAGGGUUUGUAGGCUGCUUUUAAUUUUAAUUUUAUUUUUAUUUAUAGAUUGUUAUAAAUAACUUAUAAUUUUAUUUUGAGAGCUAGAAUCAAACAGAAGUUAAAAAGUAUAAUACUUAGAGAAGGGCCGAUAUCCUUAGAACCUAAGGGGAAUACUAAAGGUGUAAACAACUAACUAUAAAUGAUUGACGCUGAGACACGAAGGUGAGGAUAGGAAAUAGGAUUAGAUACCCCGGUACCCCUCUCUGUAAACGAUGAAUGGUAGUUAUUAGUGUAUUACUGGUGACGAUGUUAACGCGUUAACCAUUCCGCCUUGGGAGUACGACUGCAAAGUUGAAAACAAAAAAAUUAGUCGGUCUCGGAGCAAACGGAGUGAAGCAUGUUAUUUAAUA
rnacentral:rRNA from 1 species